GGGAGCACAGACAUGAGGAGUGGGAAAUUUGCUGGAUUCCAUGACUGUAAAGAACACGUUACGUCUUGCCAAAUGGAAGAGUGGGAGACCUGGGUGGCGGGGAGUGGGGACAGCAGAGUGCUGAGCUGAAAAAGGAAAAGCCACGGUGGACAGGGGAGAUUGAUGCAAUAAACACUUAUCCCCGCUUUAUAGAUUGGAGCGAUCUACAGAGCCUGAGAGAAAUGAAAUCAGCUGGACUAUUUCACAAAUGAAAGCAAGAAGGGGGGAGGGGACCAACAGGAGAGCAGAGGACAGCUCAGAACCGGCAAAGCCAGCAGCACCCACACCAAGGGUCAGUCCCCAGUCUGGAGCUGUUUCCACGCACUUCUACAGCUCCAUGGAAAGAAGAGGCCGGAGACUCUCCAGAGGCUCGUGGGCUGGCUAGCCCAGUGGUUGGGGAGAGUGCUGUGGGAAACAAGAGAAGAGACCGCCUCCAACAAGAUGGAAGGUGUCCCUGCAUAGAGGCCUAAAGGAGUCGUUGUGCGAAGCUGUGAAGAAGACUGGAUUACCUUGGAGACCCCAAGAUGUUGGAGAUGCCAGAGUCAUGUGAUGCCUGCUGAGGUGCUGCUAACAGGGAGUGGAACCAGCCCAAGAGAGAGAAGUGAGUUGCAGUCAACAAAGCUGAAAGGAGUUGGAAAUAUGAAGAGUACUUUGACAUCAAGCAUAGAGGUGCUGAAUUUGGAGUUUUCCCUGCUGGUUUUAGGUCUUGCUUUGGUCCAAUAUUUCCUUACUAUGCUCCCUUUCCUUCAUCUUGUACCAUUGUGUGUUAGAAAUGUGUGGUCUGCUGUUGAAUUUUACAGGGGUUACAGUUAAGACAUUGCCAUGAGUCUCAGAGACUUUGACCUUUGGACCUUUACACAGUGUUGAGACUGUGAAAGACUUAAGAGGCUUUUUCAGUUGGACUGAAUACAUUUAUGCAUUGUGAUAUGACUAAAGCCUAGCAGAGUCAGGGAGGGAAAUGUGGUUUGAAUGAGAAGGGCCUCCGUAAAUUCAUGUAUUUGAGUGCUUAGUCACAAGGGAGUGGAACUCUCUAAUAGGGUGUGAUUGGCUAUUCUUGGUUGAUGGGAGAUGCCAUUCUGUAAAUCUGUCUAAAUCUGUUGUUGAAUAAAGCACUGUCGGCCAAUAGGGAAGUAAGAUAGGAGGGACUAGGAGUCGAGCAGGAUU